CUUAUAAGUGAUCACUCUGAGUGGAAAACAGGAAAGAUCUUCACUUGUACAGUAUCUGACAGGUCUCUGAAUAAAAAUAUCACAAGAAAUAUCAAUCUCUGUUCAGGGACCAUCACCUCUGCAGCAGCCUGAGAACAAAGGACCCGUGACUGUUAUCUGUCUUCUGGUUGCCCCUAGUCUUAAUGAUUUCUCCAUCACCUGGAAAUUAGCUGGCAACAAAAUUCCUGACUGUUAUGUCCUUACUAAUCCUGCAGUGAGUCACAACAAUGGGACAGAGACUCAACAGAGCUUCUUUAAUGUGUCAGCAGAAAAUUGGGAUGCACAUAAACAAUAGUUUUGUGAAGGAAAACGUCCAUGUUCCAAUCAGGGCAAUGAAGACCAUAUAAGCAAAAACAGAGUGUUUUUCAAGACCUUAAUGUGCCAACAGUGAAGAUAAUGCAACCAAGUGCCUCUGAACUUUCAGUGUCUGACAUCCUAACGCUUGUUUGCCUAGUGUCUGGAUAUUCCCUUGCUAACAUCAAAGUGUACUGGGAAGAAGAUGGCCAGACUCUCCCAUCCAUGCAUUAUGUUAACAGUCCUCCAUGGAAAUACUGAGGGAGCAGCUCUUACUCUGUCAGCAGCAGACUAAACAUAUCCAAAACUGAAGACAAAAGGUCGACGUAUUCUUGUGUUGUCAAACAUGAGUCAUCUGAAGCACCUGUUGAAGCCACUAUAACUGAUGUGUUUGCCUCAGUGAUCUACAGCCAACCAUCAGCCUACUUGCUUAAGGGCUCUAAUUAACUUGUGUGCCUGGUUUUUGGCUUCAGUCCUGUAUCCAUUAACAUCACUGGGUUUCCAAAUGGAGACACAGAACUUCUGAACUACAACACUAGUGACCCCAAAGAUGCCCAGAUGGAAAUUUCAGUGUCCAGAGCCACCUUGACCUGUCCCAAGUAAAAGAAGUGUGAUUUAUUUGAUGAUAUUGAGCAUGCUGAUGUGAGCUGAGGAAAGCUAGAAUGCAGUUUUCACCCUCAUUGGUUUAUUCAUCAUCACCACCUUAUAUGGUAUCAUAGUUACAUUGAUUAAGGUAAGCACCUGUAAUUUAAUUGUGUAAAAGUAAGAUUCCAGUCCAAUUUUUAAAUUAUACUGUACUGUACUAUAAUAAUAAUAAUAAACACCAUGUUUAUCCUUCAGAAAAUUGCUUCAUGCACCAAGAUAUUGUAAUUCUCAGAUUUUCCACAAGAGUGAGACAAAGCUCCAUGUGCAGAAGCAGCAAUGUAGUUUCCACCUCUAUGUAAAAAAAACUACUCAUGUUUUAAUUUCAAGAUGCCGAUAAAUGUGUUGGUAUGCCAGUGGUGUUAUGAAGAGGUGCAUUCAUUUAAAAGCACAAAGACUGUUGUUGUAACCCUUCUUCUUUGCAAACAUAUGUAGUGUCUUUGUAGAUCUGUACACUUCCUGUCUUUGAAUGAAUUGUAUUUGUGUACUUUGUGGGUUUAGAGGAAUUCACAACUGGCAGGGAGAGCACUAAACACACUAAAGCUUACUAUUAGCAACCUCUUAAGUGAUCUGUUGCGCAUUCAGACUAUCCCAUAUUUUCACAUUAAGAAAAACACAUUUAUUAACAUUGGAAUACCAGUAUUUAAUACACUACCAGGACACACCUUCUCAUUUAAUGCUUUUUCUUUAUUUUCAUGACUAUUCACAUUGUAGAUUCUCACUGAAGGCAUCAAAACUAUGAAUGAACACAUAUGAAUGACCUGACAUCAUGGCUCGUCCUUGCCAUAGCAUUUGUGUUGAACCUCAUCGAUUGCUUUUUUGCUUUCCCCUGAGUUCCUGUGCUGCUCACUAUUUCACCAUGUACCAGGACACACUGAUUGAUGGGGAGUUAAUAAUACUUAACACUUUAUCUGUCUCACUCGUUCCUCUCUGUUAUCAUCUCAUCAAAUGUUACAGGUCAGAGUAAGGAGUCCACUCCUUCCAGUCAUGUAGAAAAAAGACCUGGGGAGACUCAGUUUCUUCUGUAGAGGAUCUGGCUUCAGUUUUGAUUGCUGUGUUAUCUGGUCUUAUCUGAUCUGGGUCAGAGAACCUGCAGGAAAACCCCUGGAAUUGAUUAUCCCUUAUAAUCUGUCAGCAUCCAUCUAUAUGCAAAGCAAACUUCCUGACAGUCGACUAUAAAGACUUGAAAUCAUGCCGCCAGUUAAAACAGAAGAAGAGAAGUUCUCAUCAGAUUAUCUUGAGUACCAAAAUGUUCUCUGUGGCUCUGCUGCUCCUGCUGGCUGCUGGAUCCUGUGUGAAGUGUGAACAGCUGACACAGCCAGCCUCUGUGAUUGUGCAGCCAGGUCAGCAUCUGACCAUCACCUGUCAGGUCUCUUAUUCUCUGAGCUACUAUCGGACAGCUUGGAUCAGACAGCCUGCAGGGAAAGGACUGGAGUUUAUUGGAAGUGCACAUGAUGGAUACAGCAUAUUUUACAAAGAUUCACUAAAGAACAAGUUCACCAUCAACUUAGACACUUCAAGCAAGACAGUGACUCUAAAUGGACAGAAUAUGCAGCCUGAGGACACUGCUGUGUAUUACUGUGCCAGAAUCUCACAGUAAUACAAAACAUCAGUGGAGCUCAACAAAAACCUCUCACAGCUUCAACAUGUGUAACAUCCUUCAUCACUACAGGAGCCCCUAGACUACAGAACACUGUUAUCUGCUGCAUGUCGCUGUUUAGCGCUGGAGAUUGCCAUGAUAAUAUAUAUUCUUUUAAAGUUAUAGUUAUGAAUAAAGUUUUACAUUUUAUAUUUACAAUUCAACCUUA